AGCAGCGUGGCUCGGUGGCAAGAGCCCCGGCUGGGGCGGCGACCGGACCGUGGGUUCGAAUCCCGCCUCUGCCA
rnacentral:tRNA from 1 species